ACAAGCCAAAGUCAGACACCUUACACACCAAGUUACUGUUAACCAGGAUGUUCCGAGCAGCCAGGUCUCUGUGAACGUAACUCAUCUCUGCCAGGGUUUUAUGUUGCUGUCAUCUCCGGCUGAGAUGUAGCGGACACGCCAUGAAAAGAUAACACCCAGCACCCCAGUCUCCGGUGAGACUUGUUCUUCCCGCCGAGAUAGACAACCACGGAGUGGCGAGACUCAACUUCACAUACAGACGCUAAGUGAAUCACCAGCCAUGAUCAUCAGAAGCUUUGGCAUGCCGAGGCUAAGUGAAUUACCAACACCCGGAGCAUCAAAGCGGAGACCAAAGAUACGUAGUUCGCACUAGAACGCUAAAUUAAUUAAUUUCCACCACCAGCCAGCCCGGAGGAUUUCACCAACAAACGCGACACCCGCAGGUAACCCGAACGGCCGGAGCUAUGCUCUCUGGAUCAGCUCUUGUCUCACCAGACCAACUUGCCGAAGAGUGGCCCAGGCAGGAUGCCCACCUCACCACAAGGUGACGAGGACACAUCGGAGCAUCCCCGACUGCAGAGCAUCCUGCAAGCGCUCCGAGCUACCUUUUUUGGGGACCUAAGCUCACCCCGGAGGGACAGAAGCGGGCACAACGCGCCCGUUCUGAACGUCUUGCGAGCAGAGACACCCGGGCUCCGGCCGUCCUGCCUGGGAACUUUUUGGGCCCCUUUUUUCCUUUUUCUUCUUCCUUUCCACCAAAUCCACCUGUUCCCUGUGCAGACCGGGCCGGCCGAACGCUCGGAAGCUUGACUCGCCUGCCUCAAACAUGUUCAAGACACGUAAGUCCAACGUUGCGGUCGACUAAAAGUACAGAUUAGUGCAUAUUUGGGUUUAAAUUAACGAGAACAGGAAUCCCCAGCUAUAUACAUUCACUCCAGGCUCAUUCUACCAAUCUCACAUCACAAAUCAAUUUGUGUUUGGCCUUGGUAGGGUGUCCAUUCUACAUACUAAGUGGCAUUGUAACGUCAGACAUCACACAACUCAUUUUUUAACAUCAACUGUCAAGUAUGAAAUGAAAUCGACCAAUAAUGUAACAUUAAACAUAAAACACUCUUAACUUUUGAUCACAAGUGACAAGCAUAUGGCAAUGAACCAGUCUGUGGUUGGCUAGCUAUAGUCAAGUUCAAGAAUAUAACCAAUGUCGCUGUCUUCAUCUUCACUCAGGGCUCCUUGUCAAACAUUCAUUCAUUCAUUCAUCUUCCGUACCGCUUAUCCUCACUAGGGUCGCGGGCGUGGUAGAGCCUACCCCAGCUAUCUUCGGGCGAGAGGCGGGGUACACGCUGAACCGGUCUCCAGCCAAUCGCAGGGCACAUACAAACAAACAACCAUUUGCACUCACAUUCACACCUACGGGCAAUUUAAAGUCUUCAAUUUACCUACCAUGCAUGUUUUGGGGAUGUGGGAGGAAACCGGCAGACCUGGAGAAACCCCACGCAAGCACGGGAGAACAUGCAAACUCCACACAGGCGGGGCCGGGACCUGGACCCCGGUCCUCAGAACUGUGAGACAGAUGUGCUAACC